rnacentral:lncRNA from 1 species
GGAGACAGAGUCUCACUCUGUUCCCCAGGCUGGAGUGCAAUGGCGCAUCUCGGCUCACUGCAACCUCCGCCUCCCCAGUUCAAGUUGGUUCUCAUGCCUCAGCCUCCCGAGUAGCUGGGACUACAGGUGUGUGCCACCACACCCAGCUAAUUUUUUGUAUUUUAGUAGAGAUGGGGUUUCAUCAUGUUGCUCAGGGUGGUCUCGAACUCCUGAGUUCAAGCAAUCCACCCAUCUUGGCCUCCCAAAGUGCUAGGAUCACAAGGUCAGUUCAAGACCAGCCUGGCCGAGAUGGUGAAAGCCCGUCUGUACUAAAAAUACAAAAAUUAGCCAGGUGUGGUGGCAGGCACCUGUAAUCCCAGCUAUUCGGGAGCCUGAGGCAGGAGAAUCACUUGAACCUGGGAGGUGGAGGUUGCAAUGAGCCAAGAUUGUGCCACUGCACCCCAGUCUGGGCGACAGAGCGAGAUUCCAUCGCUAAAUAAAUAAAUAAAUCAACUAAAAUUAGUGAUUUCUGCCUAAAAUCGCUAACGGCAUAUCACACUUAAAAUCAGAGACUGGGCACACUGGCUCAUGCCUGUAAUCCCAACACUUUGGGAGACCAAGGUAGGAGGAUCACUUGAGCCCAGGGAUUCAAGACCAGCCUGGGCAACAUAGAGAGACCCCAUCUCUACAAAAAAAUUAAGAAUUAUCCAGGCAUGGUGGUGAAUGCCUGUCAUCUCAGGUACUCAGGAGACUGAGGCUGGAGGAUCCUUUAAGGUCAGUAGUUAGAGGUUGCAGUGAACCAUGACUGCACUUGUGAAUAGCCACUGCACUCUAGCCUGGGCAACAUACUGAGAUCCUGUCUCUAAAAAUAAAUAAAUAGCCAGGGAGCAGUGGCUCAUGCCUAUAAUCCUAGUGCUUUGGAAGUCCAAGUGGGGAGGAUCGCUUGAGCCCAGGAGUUCAAGACCAGCCUGGACAACAUAGCAGGACACGAUCUUUACAAAAAUUAUUUUAAAAAAUUAGCUGGACCUGGUGGUGUGCACCUGUAGUUCCAGCUACUGGGAAAGCUGAGGCAGGAGAAUCACUUGAGCCAUGGAGUUUGAGGCUGCAGUGAGCUAUGGAGUGCACUGCACCACUGCACUCCAGGCUUGACGAACAAGUGAGAUCCUGUCUCUAAAAAAUAAAAAUAAAUAAAUAAAAUCAGAUAGGGUCUACCCCUCUAAACUCAACUCCUACCACUGGCAGCUUCAGCUACACUGUUUCUGAAAGAAACUAAGUUUAUCCCAUCUCAGAACCUUUGUACUUGCUUUUCUCUCUGUCUAGAGCUUUCUUCCUCCAGAUCUGCCCACAGCUGUCUCUGGUCAUUUCAAUGAAAGGUCUUCUUUGACCAUCUCCCAUUCCCCACAUUCUAAAAGCCCUCAUCACCCUAUUAAUUUUUGUUUCGGAGACAGGGUCCUGCUCUGUUGCCCAGGCUGGGGUGCAGUGGCACAAUCACGGCUCACUACAGCCUCAACCUCCUGGGCUCAAGCAAUCCUCCCACCUCAGCUUCCCGAGUAGCUAGGACUACAGGCGUGCACCACUACGCCCAGAUAAUUUUUUGUAGAGAACAGGGUCUUGCUAUGUUGCCAAGGCUGGUCUCGAAACUCCUGGGCUCAAGCGAAAUUCCCGACACCAUUAACGCAUUUUUAGUAACUUAUCAGUAUCUGAAAUCACCUGUUUCGUUUAUUUCUAAUUUGUUCAAAGUCUGGUUCCCCCAGGAGAUGAGAGAUUUUUAUCUAUCUUCCUCAUUGCUGUGUCUCCAGCACCAAGGACAGUGCCUGGUAUAUGACAGAUGCCUAACGAGUAACAACUGAACGGAAACAAGCCUCAAUUUCAAAAAAACACCUAUAAAUCUGAACCCCGAGGUAUGGUGUACGUACAACAGCUUUGAAACCGGCUGCCAGGAUUCUGGGUCUCUUGGGGGAAAAAGGCAGACGCGGAUUCCAAAUCCUGCCCGGUUGCCGACUUGCGGCGUGACCUCUCGCGAGGUCAUCUGCAAAAUGGGAGACUGGGGGCGUGAGGCGGCUGGCACAAGACAGGCGGCCUUUCCCAGCGCGUCCCCGCCCCCACUACGAAAGGUCAUGGCGCCCUGGCCCUGCAGCUGGGUCCCUCCAGGGCUGCCCUCUCGCGCUGCCGGGUCCUGAAGGGCCCGCCUGCAGCCCAGCAGUUCGCGUUCGCCUACCCGCGCGCGACCUACCUACUCACGCGGCCAGCCGCGGACUCCAGGCCAGCUCUGUCUUGUUGCUGGGCGCUGCCAUAUU